UGCGUAGGCGGGUAGGUAAGUCAGUGGUGAAAUCCUGGAGCUCAACUCCAGAACUGCCAUUGAUACUAUCUAUCUUGAAUAUUGUGGAGGUAAGCGGAAUAUGUCAUGUAGCGGUGAAAUGCUUAGAUAUGACAUAGAACACCCAUUGCGAAGGCAGCUUACUACGCAUAUAUUGACGCUGAGGCACGAAAGCGUGGGGAUCAAACA
rnacentral:rRNA from 1 species